AACGAAUUUAUAUUUUAAUUUUUAUUGUUUUGUUUUUUUCCCCUAUUAUUGGUGUUAUAAAAUGUUAAAAGAAUGUUAAACUGAAAAGGAUAUUUUUAAUCCUCAAAAAUGUUAAAGAACGCACAACGUCUUUUCAUUAUAAAAUUGUGUAUGUAGUAGAAUGAGUGGCAAAAUAUAUAUAGAAAAGAAUAAAAAAAAUAAAACAUACGGUCUGUAAAGAAAAAAAAAAAGAGGAAAAAUAAAAAAUCAUCAUCUAAAAAUGAAUAGUGUUAUACCAUUAAAGGGUGUUGUUAUCCUUUUGCUAUAAAAGAAAUCAAAAGAAAAAAAAUGAAAUAAAAAAUAUUGAAAAAAAUUUCUUUUUCCUUUACUAGUGGUGUUGAGUAAAACACAAAGUAUUAAAAUUGAUCGAUUAAAAAUCGCAUGUUAAACAGUUCUUUUAAAAAAUGUUGAUUUCGUGUUAAAUAAAGAACGGAUAUUAUAAGGUUAAAAAUGAUUUUCUCAACUUUUUCUAUAAUUCCAUUUUCUUUUUUAAUAAAAAAUUAAAGAAUUAAAAUAUAUAAAUUAAAACAUAAACUUAACAAUUAAUCAAAUAAUCUAUUAUGUAAUUAAAAUAUUUUAAAACACUUAUAAUGAAAGAGAAGGAGAAACAAAAGUGAAUAAAUAAAUAAAUAUAAUAAAAGUGGACAUUAUAAAAGCUCUUUUAUAUAUGUAUGCCAGAAAAGAAUGUCGAGUCUUAAAAAUGAUAGGAAACGUGAUGUAUACAUACAUAUAUACAUAUAUAUAUACUAAGGUUGCGUGAGCCGUAAUGCGAAUAUAAUUUAAGUGAAAAUAUAAAAUGUUCAAAAUGAAAAAUUUUUCUUUCAUUUACCUAUAAUUAUUUAAUACUUAUAUAAAUUUAUAUUAACGAAAAGUUAAAUAAUAAUAAAUUAUAAUUUAAAAAACAUAAAAAAUAAUAAACUUUACUCACCUAUAUACAAAUACCUAAAUACAUAGCAUACUAAAUAAUAUUCCCUAACUGAAUAUAUAAAUUAAAUAACAAUAUUUAAUUUUAAUUUAUAAAAAUUGAUUAUGAUUUAA